rnacentral:pre_miRNA from 1 species
CUUUUUGCGGUCUGGGCUUGCUGUUCUCUGCUCACCCGGAAGCCCUUACCCCAAAAAGCAU